rnacentral:rRNA from 1 species
GCAAGUCGAACGAUGAAGACUAGCUUGCUAGGUGGAUUAGUGGCGGACGGGUGAGUAAUGUAUCGGAACGUAUCUACUUAUGGGGGGCAACUAGCCGAAAGGUUAGCUAAUACCGCAUACGCCCUGAGGGGGAAAGCUGGGGAUCUUCGGACCUAGCGUUAUUGGAGCGGCCGAUAUCUGAUUAGCUAGUUGGUGGGGUAAUGGCCUACCAUGGCGACGAUCAGUAGCUGGUCUGAGAGGACGACC